rnacentral:lncRNA from 1 species
GCAGUGAGGGCCCCGCCGCUACCCCAGCAGUCGCCUCCCAAGUUCGCGGAACGCAGCUGACCGGCUCCCUCUGGACUGGGUGACAUGACUGCUCCCAAGCAGUCGUUUGUAAACUGAGUUUCUGUAAAACAAUUUUAUUUUUCAUAUGUGACUGUAGCGGGGUAUGAUUUGAACUUUGUUUUCCGUCCCCCAGCCCGGAUUCUCUGUCUUCUCCUGUACAGCCGUUCCGUUUUCUUACCUCGUCUCCGUCACCGAGGCCCUCAGCCCUGAACACAAGGACUGGGCAGUUUCCCUAUUGAUUCCUGAACCUGGAACUUAAGACAUCUUCCGAGGGGCCCCCCCUUGCCACACCCUCUAGCUGAUCGACUCACAAAUACCUGUGAUUUCUCUCCCCGUCUCCACCUCCAGACCCAGGGGCUGAUGAUGAUGGGGAAAUCACCUACGAGAAUGUUCAAGUGCCCGCAGUCCUAGGGGUGCCCUCAAGCUUGGCUUCUUCUGUACUAGGGGACAAAGCAGCGGUCAAGUCGGAGCAGCCAACUGCGUCCUGGAGAGCCGUGACGUCACCAGCUGUCGGGCGGAUUCUCCCCUGCCGCACAACCUGCCUGCGAUACCUCCUGCUCGGCCUGCUCCUCACCUGCCUGCUGUUAGGAGUGACCGCCAUCUGCCUGGGAGUGC